AGAGUUUGAUCCUGGCUCAGAACGAACGUUGGCGGCGUGGAUUAGGCAUGCAAGUCGAGGGCGAAAGGGGGGCAACUCCCGAGUAGACCGGCGUAAGGGGUAGUAAGGCGUGGGUAACCAACCCUCCGGAUGGGGAUAGCUAUGGGAAACCGUAGGUAAUACCCAACGACGUUGCCGAGAGGCAUCUCUUGGCAACCAAAGGUGUGAUUCCGCCAGAGGACGGGCUCACGUGGUAUUAGCUAGUUGGUAGGGUAAUGGCCUACCAAGGCUACGAUGCCUAGGGGGUGUUAGCGCACGACCCCCACCACUGGGACUGAGACACUGCCCAGACACCUACGGGUGGCUGCAGUCGAGAAUCUUCGGCAAUGGGCGCAAGCCUGACCGAGCGACGCCGCGUGGAGGAUGAAGGCCUUCGGGUUGUAAACUCCUGUCAGAGGGGAUGAAAGUCAGGGUGGCUCUCCAUCCUGAUUGACAUAUCCUCAGAGGAAGCACGGGCUAAGUUCGUGCCAGCAGCCGCGGUAAGACGAACCGUGCAAACGUUGUUCGGAAUCACUGGGCUUAAAGGGCGCGUAGGCGGUGUGUUAAGUCGGUGGUGAAAUACUUCGGCUCAACCGGAGAAUUGCCGCUGAAACUGGCACGCUAGAGGGAGGUAGAGGUGUGUGGAACUUCCGGUGGAGUGGUGAAAUACGUUGAUAUCGGAAGGAACGCCUGUGGCGAAAGCGAUACACUGGACCUCUUCUGACGCUGAGGCGCGAAAGCUAGGGUAGCGAACGGGAUUAGAUACCCCGGUAGUCCUAGCCCUAAACGAUGGGUACUAGAGAGUAGAUGCUCCGAUGUGUUUACUCUCGAAGCAAAAGUGGUAAGUACCCCGCCUGGGGGAGUAUGGUCGCAAGGGCUGAAACUCAAAUGAAUUGACGG
rnacentral:rRNA from 1 species